AUGAAGGGCCAAUUAGCAAAGUGGCAGAUGAGAGGAGGGGAUCAAAUCCCUAGCGCAGCCUCAAUUCCCGUCGGGCCUGGCUACAUCUCCUCCUCCCCCAACCUCCUUCUCCACCUCCGGCCGCCGCCAUGGCCUGGUCGGCGUGGUAGGUGCGCCAUCCAUCUCCACCAUCUGCUUCACAGCACCACCUCCUACCACCACAUCCACCAUCAGCGCCUCCAACCAUCCAGUCAUCACCGCCGCCACCAGCGCCGCAUCUCCACCACAUCUGCAGCCCAUCGGCUGCUCCUCCUCUCUUCUCUCAAAGCCCCUGCUGCUUCUUCCUUCUCCAACCACCUGUUGCUGCCUCCUCUUCCCCAAGCCCAACUGUUGUUUCUUUCUUGUUGCGCCCCUGCUUCUUCCCCCCCCCCCCCUCCUUGCUGCUACUCCUUCCUCUCACGUCCCCUGCUGCUGCUCUUCUUCUUGCGCCGAUCUGCUGCUGCUCUGCUUCCUCCACUAAACUGCUGCGCCUCUGCUCCUUCUCUGAACCGAACUGCUGCUGCUCCCUCUCCCACGAGCCUGUUGCUGCUCUUCUCUCCCUAA
rnacentral:rRNA from 1 species